GACGCCCCUUGUGACGCCACGAACAGCCGCACGCACACCAGUCCGCCAUCUUUCUUACCUUUUUGAUUGUUGACUUCAUGACUUGUAAAUUUUGUAAUUAGUUUUUGCCGACGUCCACCGUGCCGUUUUUUAAGUAAUUUUUGGUAUUUUACAAAUUGUGUUACUUUAGUGGACACGUGGAGACAUGGACGCUGACUGUUGGAAGAAUUCGUCAAUUCAGACUGGCGCAAAGAGCUAUCAGGGGUCGAUGCCAGGAAUUUCAUUGCGAGACAGAAUUCGAAAUGAGGAUAUUCGCCAACGCAAUAAAGUUACCGACAUUGCAAAAAGGAUUAACUCAAGUGGGAAUGGACCGGCUAUAUUUUUCGCAGAGAUGACGAUCAAUGGGGUCGCCUAGUAUUGCUGUGGAGACCUAGCCUGGGUGGCCGAGGUGGCGGGAAACCACGAGCAGAUGGUCGGAUGACAUCAAAAAAGGGCAGGGCCCACCUGGCACAGAACCGUCACAUAUAGAACGGAGUGGAAACCCACGGAAUGCAGACCAGGAUUAUAUACUUUAGGUAUGAGUUUGUUACUUUUGCUCAUAAUAACAUGGAGUAUGUCACAGCUGCUCCACGGGCUGCAUUGAGGGGCAACAGGAGCGAAAAUGUUAAAAUGGAAAGGAGCUCCCCCUUUCAAUUAGGGAAUCUUAGGAUAUGCUAAGGCAAACAGAAGGAGGCAAGGAACGGGACGGGACUGCAUCAAUUGCUGUCUGGAACCAAUCUUGUGGGAUGACUUCUGGACAGGGAAAAAACAAUUUCAUCAUCUACCCUAAUACUGACGAAUGUUCUAAAACGUGCUGUAAGGCAGACAUUUCCAAAUGUAACGGAGGAAAGUUUCGAGACAUGUAAUGGUUUCAACACGCUGCUGAGACCCAACUCAAGAGACGUCAGUUUGUACUGUUUAGUCCAUUCUCUAUUGGGCAUGCUUGUAUUGAGAGGUAUAUAUAUUGGAGUACAGACAUGGUGUUUGGUAUGAGUAUUAUAUACAUCCUCUUGAGUCAAAUAGGACCGGUAGCCACUUUGAACUCCGUGUCCGAAAGGGUCAAAGUAUGGAGCUCCCGGUACUCAGAAAAAAAUUCUGGCCUAUUAGUUUUGAACUUUCGAGUCAAGUUUGGUGUCAUUUUUAUGUAAACUAUUCGUUUCGUUUUUAAAUUGAAGAAGAUUAAAAAUCACAGUAAUAUUAUAAAGGCAAAAGUUUGUGAGCAUACUGUGUUUGUUACUUCCUCACGCCACGCCCAAGUGCCUUAACAAAUAUUAUUUAUAAAAUUAAGUAUGGAGGAAGUACGAUAUACCCUAAGUUAACACGUCACUUCUUCUUGAUCGUGGGUAACACUCGGGGCGCAGUAUAAUGAUUAUUAAAAAUCUUUAUGCUGUCCCCUAUGCUGCGAUGGCGAUCGUUGCAGUACUUUCAAUAUUUUUUUUACAUCAAAUAUUAGAAUCAUCAAAGAUUACUAAUAAAAUAGGCUUUUUA
rnacentral:lncRNA from 1 species